rnacentral:rRNA from 1 species
GAGGAAUAUUGGACAAUGGAUGGAAAUCUGAUCCAGCCAUGCCGCGUGCAGGAUGACGGCCCUAUGGGUUGUAAACUGCUUUUGUAUGGGAGCAAUAAGCCCUUCGUGAAGGGUGAUGAGAGUACCAUACGAAUAAGCAUCGGCUAACUCCGUGCCAGCAGCCGCGGUAAUACGGAGGAUGCAAGCGUUAUCCGGAUUUAUUGGGUUUAAAGGGUGCGUAGGCGGUUGGAUAAGUCAGCGGUGAAAGUUUUCUGCUUAACAGGAAAAAUGCCGUUGAUACUGUCUGGCUAGAAUAUGGUUGCUGUGAGUGGAAUGUGUGGUGUAGCGGUGAAAUGCUUAGAUAUCACACAGAAUAUCGAUUGCGAAGGCAGCUCACAAAGCCAUUAUUGACGCUGAGGCACGAAAGUGUGGGGAUCAAAC